AGCAAACAAAGUUGACUUGACAAUUGAACAUGUGUUCGAAGUGUCUGUGUACAUGACGGUUACGUUUACGAGUGAUAUUUUACUGGUAGCUAUGAACUGCGGCUGAGUAUUAACCUGCCAAAAUAGGGAAUUAUGGACCUUUCUUACUUUUAUAUAUGGCGGUACGAGCAAAGGAUGCAAUACAGCACAGAGCAGCCUAGAAGACACCCUGUGUUCCACUAUUCCUCUGAGCGCAAGGGGAUCCGUAACACCCAACAAGCCGCCUUUUGCCUGAUGUCUUGUGGAAAUGCUUCACUGAAAGGAAGCCCCUACUGUGUGACCUGACGGGAUCUACUCUUCAAGAGGGACACUGGCUUGGCAGCAUGUCACGUGUUAAAGAUGUAAGUAG